rnacentral:rRNA from 1 species
UAGGGAAUCUUCCGCAAUGGACGCAAGUCUGACGGAGCAACGCCGCGUGAGUGAAGAAGGAUUUCGGUUCGUAAAACUCUGUUGUUAGAGAAGAACAGCGCAUAGAGUAACUGUUAUGCGUGUGACGGUAUCUAACCAGAAAGCCACGGCUAACUACGUGCCAGCAGCCGCGGUAAUACGUAGGUGGCAAGCGUUGUCCGGAUUUAUUGGGCGUAAAGCGAGCGCAGGCGGUCAAUUAAAUCUGAUGUGAAAGCCCCCGGCUCAACCGGGGAGGGUCAUUGGAAACUGGUUGACUUGAGUGCAGAAGAGGAGAGUGGAAUUCCAUGUGUAGCGGUGAAAUGCGUAGAUAUAUGGAGGAACACCAGUGGCGAAGGCGACUCUCUGGUCUGUAACUGACGCUGAGGCUCGAAAGCGUGGGUAGCAAACAGG